GCCGAGCGGGACGAGUAGUCGGCGGCUGGCACUCCGGAUUUCUCCCCUAUUCCGCCCACAAUAGAUGAGUGAUCAGUGCCCACAUCACCGGACCUCCACGGAUGAACCUGUCAGGCUGGGGAGGCUCAUUCCUAGGAGAGAUCGUGUUUUGAGAUCAUUAAUCCACCACUGAAGGAAGUCAGAGCAGAAACUCAAGCAGGGACUUGAAGAAGAAACCAUGGAGGAAUACGGCUUGCUGGCUCACCUUUCAAGAUGUUCAACUUGGCUGCUCCAGCUACCAUGCCUGCUGCCUGCCACCUCCACUCUGUCAUGGAACUGUAAGCCCAAAUAAACUCUUUUUUUAUC
ensembl:lincRNA Jpx Jpx transcript, Xist activator (non-protein coding)